rnacentral:lncRNA from 1 species
UCCGCUUCAAUAAUUGCUUUGGCCCUAAACUUGUUCUGGUAGCUGUUAUUUUGGGUCUCUUCCGAUGGUGAACUUAAGACUUUAUUGGUGCCACUUGAUGUGUGACUUUGCUUUUUAUGCUUUAUCUCAUUUUCGUAUGGAUAGUCGGUCUACUAGAAGCUGGCGUGUCCUCUGCUGGAAUGUGAGAGGCCUCAACUCUGACGCGCAU